AGUAACAUCCGGAAACGGGUGCUAAUACCGCAUAGUUUUCUUGGUCGCAUGAUCGGGAAAGGAAAGACGGCCUUUGUGCUGUCGCUUAUGGAUGGACCCGCGGCGUAUUAGUUAGUUGGUGAGGUAACGGCUCACCAAGACGAUGAUACGUAGCCGACCUGAGAGGUGAUCGGCCACAUUGGGACUGAGACACGGCCCAAACUCCUACGGGAGGCAGCAGUAGGGAAUCUUCCGCAAUGGACGAAAGUCUGACGGAGCAACGCCGCGUGAGUGAAGAAAAGGGUUUUCGGAUCGUAAAACUACUGUUGUCAGAGAAGAACAAGUUGGAGAGUAACUGCUCCAGCCUUGACGGUAUCUGACCAGAAAGCCACGGCUAACUACGUGCCAGCAGCCGC
rnacentral:rRNA from 1 species